rnacentral:rRNA from 1 species
UACGUAGGGGGCAAGCGUUGUCCGGAAUCAUUGGGCGUAAAGAGCGUGUAGGCGGCUCGAUAAGUCUGCUGUGAAAGUCCAGGGCUCAACCCUGGAAGGCCGGUGGAAACUGUCGGGCUAGAGUCCGGAAGAGGCGAGUGGAAUUCCCCGGUGUAGCGGUGAAAUGCGCAGAUAUCGGGAGGAACACCAAUGGCGAAGGCAGCUCGCUGGGACGGUACUGACGCUGAGACGCGAAAGCGUGGGGAGCAAACAGG